CGAGAUACGUUGGCCAUUUUCUCAACGAAGGCCCACGGCUCCAGGUGUGCAUGCACAGAACACGCAGUGCCAUUAUUCAUUCACCUGAUGAAGACCAGUCCUGCUGUAGAUUACCAUUCUAUAAUGAGAGGUCUGGUGACUUGAUGGAAAGAGCAGCAGUCUACAAACUACGAGGUCCUGGGUUCAAGACCCAAUGCUUCUAUUGUGUGCCAGUCAGCAGUGGUUGUUAACAUAGGAUGGUGGACCAGUGAAGGCAAUGCUCAUGAUGAAAAGGUGCCAUUAUUCAUUUACUUGACGGAGACCAGUCCUGCUGUAGAUUACCAUUCUAUAAUGAGAGGUCUGGUGACUUGAUGGAAAGAGCAGCAGUCUACAAACCAUGAGGUCCUGGGUUCAAAACCAAGGUGCCAUGCUUCUAUUGUGUGCCAGUCAGCAGUGGUCCUUGAUAUUGGAUGGGUGGACCAGUGAUGGCAAUGCUCAGGGUUGAAAGGUGCCAUUCUUUAUGUACUUGAAGAAGACGAGUCCUGCUGUAGAUUACCAUUCUAUAAUGUGAGGUCUGGUGACUUGAUGGAAAGAGCAGCACUCUACAAACUACGAGGUCCUGGGUUCAAAACCAAGGUGUCAUGCUUCAAUUGUGUGUUUCCUAGGUCAGUCAGCAGCAGUCGUGAACAUCGGAUGAAGGUCCCAAUGCUCAGGAUUGAAGGUUAUAAAUAGCCAAGAUCUUCAUCUAUUGAUGUGGAAUCCAGUCCUGUCCUGUCCCAUCUUGUGUUGUAGAUUCAGAAUUGAGAGUUGGUUUAGAAGUCAACUUGGUCGAUGAAGUCUACGGAACUUGCUGGGAAAAAAGCUAUCUCAACAUCUCUCUUGGUUUGAUGGAAAACCUGUCUUUGGGCAGAUUCAACCAUGAGUGGGUGUGCUGACUCUGUAGUUAGAGCAGUGGUCUGGAAAUUAGGAGAUCCUGGUUUCAAACCAAGUCAGUGUGCCUCUGUCUUGAAGAUCAGAAAAGACUCUGGCAGUGUUUGAAUCAGCAGAGAAGACGAACAGCCCAACAGAAGACGUGUACAAGAAAUGGCUCCAAAGACCUAUGAUGCUUUAGAGGUUUGAAGGAAGAUGUAGAGAAGAUUUGGCUCCUAAGGAAGAGACCAUCGACUACUAAGGGAGAGAUCAUCAUCGAGAGAUCAGAAAAGACUUUGGCAGUGUUUGAAUCAGCAGAGAAGACGAAUAGCCCAACAGAAGACGUACAAGAAAUGGCUCCUGAGACCCAUGAUGCUUAGACGUCUGAAGGAAGACGUAGAGAAGAAUUUGGCCCCUAAGGAAGAGACCAUCAUCGAGGUUGAAAUGACUGAACGUAUGUCUGACAAGACCAUCAUCAGCGUGCAUGUGAACCCCCUACUCCACCUGAAGGUGCUGAUACAGUCUACCGGUUAGAUGGUUCUUCUGGACAAACUAUUGCCAUAGCUCAAGGAAGGUGGCCACAAGAUGAUCCGCUGUCUGGAUAUCCUGAAAGACUACCUCACCCAGAAAAGGUAUCUCUUUGAGAGGAUCGACGGCCGAGUAAGAGGCAACUACACGAGACAAGCUGCUAUAGCUAGGUUCAGUAAACCAGAUUCCGAUCGCUUUGUGUUCCUACUGUGCACCUGAGCUGGUGGUCUAGGAAUCAACCUGACAGCGGCCGAUACCUGCAUCAUCUUUGACUCGGACUCGAAUCCUUAGAAUGAUAUCCAGACUCUGAUCGCUUUGUGUUCCUACUGUGCACCUGAGCUGGUGGUCUCAGAAUCAACCUGACAGCGGCCGAUACUUAUCUGCAUCAUCUUCGACUCUGACUCUAAUCCUUAGAAUGAUAUCCAGACGGAGAUGAAGAAGAUCCUAGGUUAAAGGUCAGAGAGACGUUUUACCCGGCUAUCUCCCAUGUCAAAUCAAAGAACGCCCUUGGCAUUUGGAAUAUUGGUCUGGAGUGGUGCAUGAGCAAUGAUACUGAAAUGAUGCAGAAUAUAUUUGAGGGUAUAUUACUCCUCGCUGUGAUUUCUCUAAAUGGAGAAGUGGCUUCAAGAAUGUAGCUGGAACCAGGUCAAUACUGCUCUGAGUGAUAUUGGAAUGGAGAAGAGUCCACAAGAAUUCGGGAAAGGACUUGAAUGAAACCAGAUUGGUGAUGUAAACAGAGAUAUGGAGACAUGGUUAUCAUCGUUUGCAUUGCUGGCCGUAGGAUAGAGUGACUGUUUACCUGAUGCCCUUUAUUGCCAUUUUUCAAAUAUAAUACUUCUGUUUCUGUAAAGUGCCUCAUAUACAUUAUGGAUUAUUAUGGCACAAUCCAAAGUAGUAUUAGUAGUAUAUUU
rnacentral:lncRNA from 1 species